rnacentral:rRNA from 1 species
UACGUAGGGUGCGAGCGUUAAUCGGAAUUACUGGGCGUAAAGCGUGCGCAGGCGGUUCUCCAAGUCCGUUGUGAAAGCCCCGGGCUCAACCUGGGGAUGGCAGUGGAAACUAGGGGACUGGAAUCUGGCAGAGGGGGGUGGAAUGCCGCGUGUAGCAGUGAAAUGCGUAGAGAUGCGGCGGAACACCGAUGGCGAAGGCAGCCCCCUGGGCUGAGAUUGACGCUCAGGCACGAAAGCGUGGGGAGCAAACAGG